UCUCGUAGACACCAUGUAACACUUCAUCUUCACAAAAUAUAUGUCACUCUCAAGCAACCCCAACCUAUUCUUCUCCUUCUACGCUCGUCUAAGGGGGCCUCUCAGAGAUAUACGGUUUAUUCCGCCAUGCUUUCUUUAUGUUGGUCAACAACCAACCACAACAAACAAUCAAAACACUAGUCCUAUAGGCUUGACGGGGUUGAACUAAGUCUUCGCAUUUAUCGCAUAUUUGAUUCAAUAACUGCUCUACCUCAGGUGGAGCGCUUUGUGCGUCUGACCUAGUUGAAGAAAGAGUGGACGAGGUAAUCGACAAACUAUCAAAAGAUAUAGUCCUAAUAUCUGAUAGCAUAAAUUGGACAUCACUGGAUGUUGGAUUUCCAAAGAGUCAAAGUGGAUUGUUAUUCAAUCUAGGCUCCUUUGUAAAAUAGCUUUGCUCCCCUUUAAAAAAAUAAAGAGAGACUUGUGUGCGGAAAGAAUUUCUCAUAUAGUAGUAAUAAUUAUACCCCUCAUUCCUACUUGAGUCGGCCCGGGAAGCUAAGAACCGUCAUAGCCCAAAGGUGCAAAUUCAAAAAUGUCUUCAAAAAAAGAAGACUAGGGCGCAAGGGACUCUCGACGCCAAUAUUUUUUACGGAACCAAAUAUGCUCUGCAAAGACUUUAACUCUAAACAUUGCAAGCUCCAAUUACAAUGUUUUCAUCCUCUCAAGGGUACUCAUCAUCUUCGGUCUGAAUAAGGUUUGGGUCUGCAGAAGACAUUCUAAUGCCUAAGUUAACCAAGUACAUAAAUAUAACAAAUAAUUUACCUAUUGUAUUGUGCUAUUUAACUCUGUUUUAUGGGUUUCUUACCUAGGU
rnacentral:lncRNA from 1 species